rnacentral:tRNA from 13 species
UCCGUCGAGCCGGAGUCGAACCAGCGACCUAUGGAUAUCUGCUCUCAAACGCCUACAGUCCACCGCUCUGCCAACUGAGCUAUCGACGG